GAAAAAAAAAAUUGUAUGGAGUUGGAACGUUUGCCUAUGUUUGCCGCUAGGGGCGCUGUUCCAACUGCAAAAAAACUCACACUA
rnacentral:pre_miRNA from 1 species